rnacentral:piRNA from 1 species
UAGGCAUUUGAAAUGGCUAUCUGAUGCCUGA